AUUUUUUUAAAGAAUGUAAACCCCAAUUUAUUUUCAGAGCAAACAAAGAGGGAAGGCGGUAUGCCCUCCAUUUUGCAAAUGACACCCUUGUGUCGUAAUUGUCAAUUCCAUGACUUAGAGAAUAAAGAAAACUUUUAUCUCGCCUGCCCUGAGUUGUUAAUCUCGCAUGCCCUGAUUUGUUAAUCUCGCAUGCCCUGAGUUGUUAUCUCGCCUGCUGAGUUGUUAAUCUCGCAUGCCCUGAGUGGUCAUUUUAUUCUGUUUUGUGUGUGUGCAUUUUGAGCUGAUAGAAGUUAUUGAAUAGAAGCCGC
rnacentral:lncRNA from 1 species